AUACGUAGGUGGCAAGCGUUGUCCGGAAUUACUGGGCGUAAAGGAUGCGUAGGCGGAUAUGUAAGUCAGAUGUGAAAUACCCGGGCUCAACUUGGGUGCUGCAUUUGAAACUGCAUGUCUAGAGUGCGGGAGAGGAAAGUGGAAUUCCUAGUGUAGCGGUGAAAUGCGUAGAGAUUAGGAAGAACACCAGUGGCGAAGGCGACUUUCUGGACCGUAACUGACGCUGAGGCAUGAAAGCGGUGGGUAGAC
rnacentral:rRNA from 1 species